rnacentral:misc_RNA from 1 species
GGGGUUCUGUGUUUUUCAGAAGGUAACAGUGAUGCUUUCUACUAGAAACUGGAUGGGACUGUUUACAUACCGUUGGAAGUUGAAAACAUUUAGUAAAUCUAUUCAUGAAAGAUUUUGCCAUACCAGUUUAGCAGAAUCUUACAUCUCAGAAGGAUCUGUUUAUGUUCAUUGGCCAUACUGUAGACAGAGGUGCACUUACUGCAAUUUCGUUAAAUUUAUCCCACACCAGAAGUCGCAGUUGACGUUGCAAAAUGAAGUUCUGGAAGAUGCAUUGGUUGAGGAACUUCAGAAUGCACUUCGGAGUUCGUACAUCUCUACAGUCAAAAGCGUUUUCUUUGGGGAGGUACUCCAUCUUUGGCGCGUCCACACUUAAUUGAAGUAUGUGUUUAGUGGUGACACCUUAUCGGCAAGGCAAGAUAAAAGUCUUGCUACCCUGACUGUGUAACUGAAAGGACUAGAGGCUUGCUCCCUUGCGUAACUGAAAGGACUGAUUUUGUACCACAUACCCUUCUCCCACGAAUCUUCGACCAUGAGCAGAGAGGUCCGGGGUGUGUGAGUGAGUGCAAAACACGUGCGUGGGCAAGGCUGUGUAAGGGCAUGGACAGGUACAGAGUACGUGCAUAAGUAACGUGCGUGGCACAUACGUGAGCCAGUGCGAGGUCACAUAACGCAAGAACAAGAAAGCAUGCCGGACAAAUUGCAAGUCUGUAAAAAGUGCAUAGUGACUAGUGUGCCAUCCAUAUAACUAGUUCAUUAUCCGCUUUACUAGUAUGUCAUCGUGUUACUGUUGUGUUAAUUUUUCGACUAUGACAGACGGGUAUUCUCGGACGAUAUUUAUAAUUAGAUUUAUUGUGUGUUGAGAAUGAAUCUGAUGAUCAUUUCCGCCGCAUUCAUCAGUCGAUAAUCCUGAUAGCAGGGGAGGGCAUGAAGUACAUCAGGGAAAUUACAGGGUAAAAAAAAAAGCUGAAAUAAGAAGAAUAGAGAAAAUUAAUAAAACCAGCACAAAAAACGCCUAAAAUCGGUCAGUGACAACCUACGAACCGAGACGCCAACUUUCGAAAAAUCCUACAGGAAUCAAACCCAUCGUCAGGUAAAAUCUAUGGGAUUUUACCUAUUCCAAAUGGCUCAAAUAUCAAGCUAUGAUAGAUACUAAAAAUGACCCGGAAUCGACAUAAUCGACGUCACAGAAUGGCGUCGCCUGUUAAAAACAUGUGUAAAUAAUUAUAGAAACAUAUAAAAGAAGUAUAAUAAAAAUGAAUUACGAAAAA